GAGGCACACAGGAGCCAGAUCCUAAAGGCUUUGUAUGCCACAUUAGGAAAGAAUUUGGAAUACAGCUUCUGUUUGGAAAACAUUUUCUGUAACCAGCCCGACACAGAGACGGGGUUUUGCAUGUUGGCCAGGCUUGUCUCGAACUCCCGACCUCAAGUGAUCAGCCCGCCUUGGCCUCCCAAAGUGCUGGGAUUACAGGUGUGAGGCACCGCUCCUGGCCAAGACCAAUAUUUCUUGACGCUGACUUCAGGAGCUAGAACAGAACUGGUUGGAGCCCAGCUAAACUAAAAAGCACAGCCAAGGGCAGCAAAGCCUUCUAUGUUUACAGAGCCAAAAGGAUGCCGAAGGCCCUGGAAGUUGAAAAUCAAGACUGGCUGCUGUAAAGCAGACCAUCUCAGACGUAUUCUCAUUCCUGACAAAUACCCACCCACCAGCAGGACUGGGAGACACAUGGCAACCAGAGCAAGUUGUCAAAACUUAUCAUUAUAAAACGUCCAUCUUACAAAAGUACAACCUUUGCUCAGUGCAGUGUUUUCCUUAGAAGACAGCUCUUCUGAGAGCUAUAAAAAGGCUGAGAGAGGCUGAUGAAUGUUACACUUCUCUAAUUCACAAAAUUUAUCUGAAUACAAGGACAUAUUAGGAAAGCAUUUUCGUGUUCAAAUCCUACAAAAACAUAUGGGAGCAAGAUAAUGUUUGUUCUGACCUGCCAAAAUCCUGUGGAGAUCAUCUCGAAUCCACAUCACAUUCCUGAGUACUAAUGCUCACACGGGGCUUUUGCAUUAGCAGAUGUGUGAAAAUGCAUGUACUCAGAGAAUUCCCUCAUGGCUUCCUAUCUAAAGAAGCUCCUCUACAACAGCUCUUCCAGCCAAAUGCUGAAAUGACAUCUCCAAGUUCAGUAUACCUUCAUUUAAGCCAGUGUCUGGAUGGAAAAAAUUCAACUGAAAGGUUUGUUAUCUGGCUCAAAACCAAGGGCAGCCUGAGUGAAUGUGAGACAGAUUUUCAGAAGGCCUCCUAUAUUCUACUUCUAAUCCUCAAGUCAUAUCAGAGACUCUAGUAAAUUUUUACUUAUUCACAUCACAAUUUCUAGCAAUCAGAUUUCACCAUUUCAAAUGCGUCACUGGAAGAUGCAUGUGUAUGAUUUUAGUUGUGAUUAAAACUGGGGGAAGGGAGACUGUUCAAUACUCUUCCUAUUUCAGCUGUGGCAAGACUAUGCUGAAAAUAUUAAGAAAAUCAAUCUAUCUUUGCAUACUUUCUCUUAAAUUUUCUUUUGUAAAAAUCAUAUGUUUUUGGCCGGGCACAGUGGCUCACGCCUGUAAUCCCAGCAUUUUGGGAGGAUGAGGCGGGUGGAUCACGAUGUCAGGAGUUCAAGACCAGCCUGACCAAGAUGUUGAAACCCCGUCUCUACUAAAAAUCCAAAAAUUAGCCAGGCGUGGUGGCAGGCGCCUGUAAUCCCAGCCACUUGGGAGGCUGAGGCAGAGAACUGCUUGAACCCGGGAGGCGGAAAUUGCAGUGAGCUGAGAUCAUGCCACUGCACUCCAGCCUGGGUGACACGGCAAGACUCCGUCUCACACACACACACAUAUAAAAUAGAUGUUUUUGAGCCUUAUAAUAACACAGGCUCACCAAAGAAAACUUUGGAAAAACUUUAAAGAAGAAAAUUAAAACUGUUCAUAAUCCUAUCACUUGGAGGUUAAACACUAUUUACAAUUUGAUCUGUUUCCUUCGUGUCAUCCAUGAAUGAAUACCAUAAAGUUGUAUAAAUCCACAACUGCAUAAUUUUUCAUAAUACUUUUUGCACAGUUUUGUACUCUUCUAAGUUCAUUAAAAUGCAAAGCAGUGGUUACAAUCUUAAAUAGACAAAAGCAUUAAAGAAGGGGGAAAAGAGGACACCUAGAAAUGUUAACAGGUAUAUUUUAUUCUACGAUGAUACUCUAACAAUUAUGACUAUCUAUAUAUCAAAUAAUACAAUGUUGACAUCAUAUAGCAAAACUAUAGAAUAUAAGGAAAAAUACAGAAAAAUAUUAUUAGCAUGAGAUUUUAACUUCAUGAUUUUUAACUCCAUAACAGCUGAUAUAUCUAUAUAUCUACAUCUCUAGCUCUCUCUCUCAGAAAGCAUGUAACGUAACCAAUGAGGUAAAUCUAACUGUUGAAAUUGCAACUCUGUAUGCUGAAAAGAGAAAAUAAACCCCUUUUUUUCAAGUGCCCAUGAAACCUUUACAAAAAUCAUGAAAUAUUUUUGCUAAAAUAUAAAAUUUGAUCAAACCAAUCUCCCAGAUCUAAUAAACAAUUUAUAGGAAAUUUUAGGAACAAAAGGACACCAAGAGAUCAACAGAAUUCAGUCUGUGGGAAAUGCUAUAAGAUAAAUGUCCCGGUUUCCUUAAUAAAUAAACUAUAAAGUAGUAAAAACAAGGAGAUGGAGGAUAAACUUACAUAUUAAAAGAGUCUUAUGAAAUAUAUCAACCAAUUGCAAUGUAUAAGUCUUAUGUGAAACAUGAUUUUAAAAAUGAGAUAGAGAAAUUUAACAUGAACUGGAGAUUUGAUAUCACAUUAUUAUUGUUAAUCUUCUCAGGCAUGAUAAUACUUUGUUUUUUAAAAAAAAGUCCUUAUUUUUAGAGAUAUGUACUAAAAUAUUUACAAAUGAAGUAUCAUGACAUCUGGAUUUGCUUCAAAAUAAUAUGGUAGAGUAGCGGGGUAGCAUAUAAAACUAGUUUGGUGAUGGGUUGCUAAGUGUCAAAACUACCUGAUUUUCAGGGAUACAUCAGGCUAUUCACUCUAUAUCUGCAUAUAUUUGAAAUGUUUCAUAAUAAGGAGUUAAAGGGAAAAGCGAGCAUGAAUGUGUAUAUGCACACACACAUUAAAAACUGCUCAUAGCAAAUAUAGUUAUUCUUUUGAGGAGGUGUUUUAAGGGAAAGGAAAGAUAUGGGUUUGUAGCUGAUAUCGCAUUUACAACAGAACACCAUUUAUUCAUUUUUAUUUAAAUUUCUCCUUUGUGUAGACAGAUGUCACAUAAUGUUAGCAAUUGUUGAAUCCAGUGAAAAUGUUUAUAUAAUCACUGUACUAUAUUUAAAAUUUUCUGUAAGUUUGAAAUUUUUCACAAUAAAAUGUUGUGAAAUUCCUACUUAUUGUCAAGUUAAAAAGUUAUCUUAGCAAUUCUUGCCUGUAUACUUUCAGAUACACUAAAGAAUAAUUUUAUCAAUAUUGUAAAUCCACUGGCAUUUUGACUGGGAUUGCAUAAAAGUUCUGAAUUAAUUUCAAAAUACCUUCAAUUGUUAAAAUAAUCAGUCUCCUUAUUCAGAACAUGAUAUAUUGUUAAUUCAUGUAAAUAAUUUUUUAAUCACUCUGUAGAAUUUCAUAGUUUUCUUUACAUAGGUUCUAUAUCUUUCUUCUUAGGGUUAUUCCUAAGUAUUUUAUAUUUUCUGGUACUAUCAGGAGUGAAAUAUUCUAAAGAAUUCAACCGUCUAAUUAGCUUUCACUUGUUUAUAGAAAUAGUAUGAAUGUUUUACAUAUUUACCAAGUGUCUGAUCUGUUGAUAAGUUCAAAGAUAAUGCUCUUGAAUUUUCUAAGUGAAAAAAUUAUAUUGUCUGUAAAUGGUGAUUUUGUAGUUACAGCUCUUCUUUUUUUAUAUAUAUAUAUUACUGCCUUGUCUGGAAUAUCUACAUCUAGAGUAAUUGUAUAAUGGUUUUAGUAUGAUUGCCUCUUUCAUGAUUUUAGGAGGAAUGCCAAGAGUAUUUCAUAUUAAAUAUGAUGUCGGUUUUUGGUUUAAGAUAGCUAUUAUUUAUUAUUUAAAGAAGACAUCUUUCUAUUUCUAGUUAUCUCAGAAUAAAUCUCAUAAAUAAAUGCUGAAUUUUAUCAAAUGCCCUUUCAGCAUCUAAUGACACUAUCAUGUUUUCUUCGUGGACCAACAAAUACUAUACAUUACAAUAAUAUAUUUUAUAAUAUGGGAUAAAUCACAUUUGGUCAUGGUAGGUGAUUCUUUUACUGUAACAUUCAAUUUGGUUUGUUGGUAUUUUAUUUGCUAUUUCUGAAUCUAAAUUCAUAUGUAAGAUUGCUACAUAGCUCUCUUUUAUGUAUGUUAUGUUUGUUAGGUUUUAGUCAUUCAUUUUUAAAAGCCUCUCUGAGAGGGGAUUAGAAAAACCCUGUCCUCAAUAGGUGUUAAAAAGUUCCUCAAUGCUAAUGCUAUUUAUUAUGAAGUAGGAAAAGGCAAGAGGCCACAGCCUGCAA
ensembl:lncRNA novel transcript, antisense to BCAS3